rnacentral:rRNA from 1 species
AUGCCAAAAGAGAGAGGAGGAAUGGGCUUUCGUGGUGUGAAUAGUUUUGCUUUGGAUAUGUUGGCCAAACAAUGUUGGAGGCUUACUAAGAAUUAUAGAUCCUUGUGUGCUAGACUGUUGAGUGCUAGAUACUAACCAUCAUGUGAUAUACUUAACUGUGAGUUGAAGAAGGGGUCCUCUUAUGUGUGGCAAAGCAUAUAGUCUGAUAUCCAAACUUUCAAAAAAGGUUGUAUCUGGAGAGUGAGAGAUGGAGCAAAGAUUAACAUCUGUAAUGACUAUUGGAUAACAAAUAGUGCCUCAAGAAAAAUGUUACAACUCAUGGAAACCAAGUUCUGA